rnacentral:rRNA from 1 species
AUUGAACGCUGGCGGCAGGCCUAACACAUGCAAGUCGAGCGGGGUUUUCGGACCUAGCGGCGGACGGGUGAGUAAUGCGUAGGAAGCUACCCGAUAGAGGGGGAUACCAGUUGGAAACGACUGUUAAUACCGCAUAAUGUCUACGGACCAAAGUGUGGGACCUUCGGGCCACAUGCUAUCGGAUGCGCCUACGUGGGAUUAGCUAGUUGGUGGGGUAAUGGCUCACCAAGGCGACGAUCCCUAGCUGGUUUGAGAGGAUGAUCAGCCACACUGGAACUGAGACACGGUCCAGACUCCUACGGGAGGCAGCAGUGGGGAAUAUUGGACAAUGGGCGCAAGCCUGAUCCAGCCAUGCCGCGUGUGUGAAGAAGGCCUUCGGGUUGUAAAGCACUUUCAGUAGGGAGGAAGGGGGUUGUGUUAAUAGUACACACCUUUGACGUUACUCGCAGAAGAAGCACCGGCUAACUCUGUGCCAGCCGCCGCAGUAACAC